rnacentral:tRNA from 1 species
GCGCCCGUAGCUCAACGGAUAGAGCAUUUGACUACGGAUCAAAAGGUUGGGGGUUCGAAUCCCUUCGGGCGCG